UGAGUACGAGAUGCUACGGCAUCGAAGCAGUCUAUGUCAUAUUUCCAAGAAAAGCUUGCAAUGUCAUAAACAAAUAAUGCCUGUACCAUAACCGACACAGGUGGGUAGGUAGAGUAUACUAAGGGGCGCGAGAUAACUCUCUCUAAGGAACUCGGCAAAAUGACUCCGUAACUUCGGGAGAAGGAGUGCCUUAUUUUUAUAAGGUUGCAAUAACAAGAUCCAAGCAACUGUUUACCAAAAACACAGGUCUCCGCUAAGUCGUAAGACGAUGUAUGGGGGCUGACGCCUGCCCAGUGCCAGAAGGUUAAAGAAGUUGGUUAGCAUUAGCGAAGCUGAUAACUGAAGCCCUGGUGAACGGCGGCCGUAACGAUAACGGUCCUAAGGUAGCGAAAUUCCUUGUCGGGUAAGUUCCGACCCGCACGAAAGGCGUAAUGAUUUGGAUACUGUCUCGGAGAGGGGCUCGGUGAAAUAGACUUGUCUGUGAAGAUGCGGACUACCUGCACCUGGACAGAAAGACCCUAUGAAGCUUUACUGUAACUUGAGAUUGAAAUUGGACUUUAUCUGCGCAGUAUAGGUGGGAGACGUUGAAAAUAUUCUUGCGGGAAUAUUGGAGUCAUCAGUGAGAUACCACUCUUAUAAUGUUAGAUUUCUAACUUUGUAUCAUUAUCUGGUCAAAGAACAGUUUCAGGCGGGCAGUUUGACUGGGGCGGUCGCCUCCCAAACGGUAACGGAGGCGCACAAAGGUUUCCUCUGAACGUGUAGAAAUCGUAUCUAGAGUGUAAAGGCAUAAGGAAGCUUGACUGUGAGACCUACAAGUCGAGCAGGGACGAAAGUCGGUCUUAGUGAUCUGACGGUGCUGAGUGGAAAGGCCGUCACUCAACGGAUAAAAGUUACUCUAGGAUAACAGGCUGAUCUCCCCCAAGAGUUCACAUCGACGGGGAGGUUUGGCACCUCGAUGUCGGCUCAUCGCAUCCUGGGGCGGUAGUACGUCCCAAGGGUUGGGCUGUUCGCCCAUGAAAGCGGUACGCGAGCUGGGUUCAGAACGUCGUGAGACAGUUCGGUCCAUAUCCGGUGUAGGCGUUAGAAUAUUGAGAGGAGCCUUCUUUAGUACGAGAGGACCGAGAAGGACAUACCUCUGGUGUACCAGUUAUCGUGCCAACGGUAAACGCUGGGUAGCCAUGUAUGGAGAGGAUAACCGCUGAAAGCAUCUAAGUGGGAAGCCCACCUCAAGAUAAGUAUUCUC
rnacentral:rRNA from 1 species